rnacentral:rRNA from 1 species
UGAAGCGGACAGCCGACACCACGCCGUCUGACCAAAGUGGUUUUUUCAGAUGAGUAGGAGGGCGUGGCGGUCGUAUGGAAGCGUUCGUGCGAACGGGCGUGAAACGGCCGCUAGUGCAGAUCUUGGUGGUAGUAGCAAAUAUUCAAGUGAGAUCCUUGAAGGACGAAGCGGGGAAGGGUUCCACGCGAACAUUGAUUGGGCGUGGGUGAGUCGUUCCUAAGCCGAGUGGCCAUUGCUAAUUACCGGCGAAAGGGAAGCAGGUUGACAUUCCUGCACACGGAUGUGGAGGCGGCGACGCCGUAUUGAGGUGAUGACGUUGGCGGUGGCUCUGGGCAGAGUUUUCUUUUCUGUUUGACCGCCAGUGUGUGCUGUGUGGAAUCCGCUUGUCGGGAGAAACACGCGUGCACGGGCAUAGCGGCGGGUCUUUUCCGUCGUCCAGAUCGCCACCGACGACCCUUGAAAAAUCACUUGCUGGACACGAAAUUUUUAUUUAUUUUGUGUGAAAUCCACGCCGUGGCGUACCGAUCACCGCAUCAGGUCCCCAAGGUGAACAGCCUCUGUCCGAUAUGAAAAAUGCAGGUAAGGGAAGUCGGCAAAUUAGACCCGUAACUUUGGGAAAAGGGUUGGCUCUAGUGCUGCGUGGGAGUGGUUGUCGCAACGUCGGCGGCGUUCGAUGGGCUGUUCUUGUUGCGGUGGCUUUUUCUUGCUUUCGGGCUUGAGGAACUGCUGUGCCGGGGAUGCUCUCUGCGUUGCUCCGUGCGAUGACGCCCACAGCAUGCAGCAGACUAGAACUGCAACGGGCAAAGGGAAUC